GCUCAGAUGGAUGCCCGCACAGAGUGAGCUGUGUUAAAGCUGAGAGGUCCUGAGCCUAGGGAUCCUGAAUUUGAAAAGGAUGGCUUCUGCGCUCAAGUGUCUGAUGUUCCUUCCCCAUGGGCUUUAUGGAGGUGGGGGCUGGUGGUGGCUCCCUGGGCUGCUGAAGAGCUGCAGCCCAUGCCUGGGGCUGCCUGGCCUCAGCCUCCACACCUCUGCAGAGUGAGAGUCCUGCGCUAAGCCAAGGAGUUGAUAGCUGUGUCUUUAGGGACCCCCUGAGGUCUCCUUGGCCACCAUGUCAGCGUCCCCUUGCAGAAAAAAUACAGCAGGUUUUUAAGCCAGGCCAGUCAUAUCUGGGAAAAACAAUCCAAAUGUUAAUCCAUCUGGAGAGACAACUAAUCCUCAUCUUCUGCUGCCCGUAUCUUUUGUUUUUCAUCUCUAGAUCUUUAAAUCUAAUUAUGAAGCCAGAACAAACCCCCUGCAAGCUUGUCUCCUACCCUUCAGGCGGCCUUUUAAGCAUUUCUUUGUGCUUGGUCUCCUUAUGUUUCUCACUAACAGAGCUCCUUUCAUCUGAAUGUGGUAUGACUCUUUAAAUAGCUAAACAAAGCCUCACUACACCCCCAUGAGGAAAGAAGUGAUCAUAACUUGCUUUCCCCAUGCCAGGGAGGAGGCAAAGAAAUGGUAAGUGACUGGCUUAAGAGGUCCUAACUCCUGAAGCCAUCUUCAAGCAACAGGAGCACCAGCCAUAAUGUUCUGCCUUUGUCACCUUACACAGGAGUGGACUCUAUUCUUCAAAACGCAGAAAACUAAAAUAAAACAAAGCAAGCUUCUUA